AUUGAACGCUAGCGGGAUGCUUUACACAUGCAAGUCGAACGAGUGGCGGACGUGUGAGUAAUAUAUCGGAACGGGCCCAGUAGCUGGGGAUAACUAUUCGAAAGAGUGGCUAUUACCGCAUACUAAUGGUGCGGCCGAUAUCGGAUUAGCUAGUUGGUGGGGUAAAGGCUCACCAAGGCAACGAUCCGUAGCUGGUUUGAGAGGACGACCAGCCACACUGUGACUGAGACACGGCCCAGAGUCCUACGGGAUGCAGCAGUGGUGAAUUUUGGGCAAUUGGGGAAACCCUGAUCCAGCCAUCCCGCGUGUAUGAGAAGGCCUUCGGGUUGUAAAGUACUUUUGGCGGAGAAGCGGUAUCUGCAGAAUAAGCACCGGCUAACUACGUGCCAGCAGCCGCGGUAAUUC
rnacentral:rRNA from 1 species